UACGGGGGGUGCAAGCGUUACUCGGAAUCACUGGGCGUAAAGGGCGCGUAGGCGUCUUGUUAAGUCUUGAGUGAAAGCCUGCGGCUCAACCGCAGAACUGCUUGGGAAACUGACAAGAUUGAGUAUGGAAGAGGUAGGUGGAAUUUCCAGUGUAGGGGUAAAAUCCGUAGAUAUUGGAAGGAAUACCAGAAGCGAAGGCGACCUACUGGGACAUUACUGACGCUGAGGCGCGAAAGCGUGGGGAGCAAAC
rnacentral:rRNA from 1 species